rnacentral:ncRNA from 1 species
GAGCAACUUAGGAUUUUAGGCUCCCCGGCAGGACCGCUGCCGGGCCAAACCUCCGGGGGCUGGCGGCCCCGGCAGGUCAAAAUCUUUCCGCCGG